rnacentral:misc_RNA from 1 species
AGAAAGGGGGAGGCCUAAGAUGACGUUGAGGGAAAUAACAUCAAAGGAUUUACAAGUUUUGGAAAUUGUUGCAGACUUUGUGUUGAACAAAGCUGAAUGGUGUAGACGUAUCUAUGUAGCUAGUUGUUGUUGUUGAAUAGGAAACUCUAGAUAGUAGUUUGUUUAUAAUUCUUAGUUCUUGUUGAUUAUAAUGCAAAUCUGAAUAUAUUAUGUUUGUGCAUAAGUAACAUUAGCUAACUUGCCUUUUUGAUCAGGUUAGAACACUCCUAGAUAA